UACGAAGGGGGCUAGCGUUGCUCGGAAUCACUGGGCGUAAAGCGCACGUAGGCGGCUUUCUAAGUCAGGGGUGAAAUCCUGGAGCUCAACUCCAGAACUGCCUUUGAUACUGGAGAGCUUGAGUCCGGAAGAGGUGAGUGGAACUCCGAGUGUAGAGGUGAAAUUCGUAGAUAUUCGGAAGAACACCAGUGGCGAAGGCGGCUCACUGGUCUGGUACUGACGCUGAGGUGCGAAAGCGUGGGGAGCGAACAGG
rnacentral:rRNA from 1 species